rnacentral:rRNA from 1 species
GGACCUGACUGCUAUCGGAUUGAUACUAAGCCAUGCGAGUCUUUGUAGUAAUACAAGGCAGACGGCUCAGUAACGCGUAGUCAAUCUACCCUAUGGACGAGGAUAACCUCGGGAAACUGAGAAUAAUACUCGAUAGAACAUUAUGCCUGGAAUGGUUUAUGUUCCAAAUGAUUUAUCGCCGUAGGAUGGGACUGCGGCCUAUCAGUUUGUUGGUGAGGUAAUGGCCCACCAAGACUAUUACAGGUACGGGCUCUGAGAGGAGUGGCCCGGAGAUGGGUACUGAGACACGGACCCAGGCCCUAUGGGGCGCAGCAGGCGAGAAAACUUUGCAAUGUGCGAAAGCACGACAAGGUUAAUCCGAGUGGUUUCUGCUAAAGAGACCUUUUGUCGGUCCUAGAAACACCGAUGAAUAAGGGGUGGGCGAGUUCUGGUGUCUGCG